GAGCGGCGGACGGGUGAGUAACGCGUGGGUAACCUACCCUGUACACACGGAUAACAUACCGAAAGGUAUGCUAAUACGGGAUAAUAUAUUUGAGAGGCAUCUCUUAAAUAUCAAAGGUGAGCCAGUACAGGAUGGACCCGCGUCUGAUUAGUUAGUUGGUAAGGUAACGGCUUACCAAGGCGACGAUCAGUAGCCGACCUGAGAGGGUGAUCGGCCACAUUGGAACUGAGACACGGUCCAAACUCCUACGGGAGGCAGCAUG
rnacentral:rRNA from 1 species